rnacentral:lncRNA from 1 species
CUACAGGAUCUGCUCCAGCCUGCCUCGGAGCGAUGUGUUAUUAUUUGCUCUGUGGGAGACUGUGAUUUUGCUGUCUGGUAGGCUGCUGUAUUAUACUUCACUGAGGUCAUUGUCAAGUGUUCCUCAAGAAAUUGCACAAAAGCUGAAGAAUGCUCUUUUUGCUCAUGUCUGUAUGGUAGAUAUGAAGCUACAGCCAGCAGUACAGACAUGAAGCGGGAGGACAGAGCUCGCAAACAUUUUAAAAAGGUGAUGUUGACAUGCAGAUUUCUUACCUCUGGACCGAGCGAGGUCUCGAUCUUCUUAACUCCUCUUUGAGAAGUGGGUUUCCCAAAAUGUUGAACCUUUUCUUCGAGACACCAGCCUUGCAUUACCAAAGCCAAAUUGAUCGUUGUGGAACCUUUUAGUUGAAGUCCCGAUGCAAUUGGUUUGACUUACAACCAAUCAGAGCAACAGAACGCGAGAUGCUAGCACUGUGCGAGCUAACGUGACAGCAGCUCAAGGCACGAAUGAAUGAAAUGUUAGCUUAAUAGCUCCCCCGGAACUGUAGUUUAGUUCAGCCUGCUGGCUACUAACAUUAGCACAAAGAGCAGUAUGGAUCUGUUGUUUUUAUCAUGCCAUCAUCUCAACAAUGCAACUACUCAAAGGCUAACAUCCAUUGAGACAGGACAGUAUAGGGAGCCACCAAAUAACACAGUCACGACAACGUCUUGUCAAUGUCAACUUUUAAAUUAGACCCUUACAGAUCUUAUAUGAGUGAAGAUUCAGCAACUAAGUUACAUAUUAUUGACUUCAAACACAUUCAGAAACUGCGAAGGUAAAAUAAGUGAAAGUUUUUCUUACAGCUUGUCAUGACUGUAGAUCUGUUUGUUGUGUUGUCUGGUUUUGUCUUGUGUUUUCUUGUAUUUGAUUUCCAUGUCUCUGUAUCUUGUCUUGUGUCUUGUUUUUCCAUACCCUCAUGUGUCCUUUAAGUUCUCCUGUGUAUUUUCCUAUGUUCCCUCUGGCUCCCUCUGUCCAUUGCCCUGGUCCCUUCAUGUUCUCAUGUGCUCCUCCCCUUCGUUGUCUCACCUGUUGGUCCACCUCACCUGUUCCUCGUCUUGUCAUCAGUGUCUGUGUAUUUAGUCUCUGCGUUCCCUUCACUCCUCGUCUGGUCAUUGUAAUUGUCAGCCUCUGUCUCGUCCAUGUUCCCGUCCAUGUACCUGCUCCUGUCAGUUCCUUGUUCCCCACGGAGGAGGUAGACCCGUUCGCAGGAGACGGCAGGCGGGAAGUGCAAUGGAUGAAGCUUUAUUCAGGAUCACAGCUGCACAAGGAACAGGCAAACACAUCGGAACGUCAGGAGCGGGAAAACACAAAAGAUGACUCGACAAAUCCUUGAGUGCAAACUAAACUAAACGACCGGAUGAGGUGCAGGUGGAGUGAAGUGGAAGGAACACUGGGAACAGGGCUGGGCUAAUGAAGGAGAGACAGUGCAGGUGAGCAGACUGCUGGGGAGCACAAGAACGCAGGAAGGGAAACAGCAAAGGGCACCACAUGAAACACAAAUGCAAUGAAACCAAAAUGAGAGGACUAUUACACAACAUACAGGUUAAAUAAUCA